rnacentral:lncRNA from 1 species
AUGUCUUGUUUACUACGUCUUGGUGUGUUGGUUACUACGUCUUGGUGUGUUGGUUACUACGUCUUGGUGUGUUGGUUACUACGUCUUGGUGUGUUGGUUACUACGUCUUGGUGUGUUGGUUACUACGUCUUGGUGUGUUGGUUACUACGUCUUGGUGUGUUGGUUACUACGUCUUGGUGUGUUUGUUACUGCGUCUUGGUGUGUUGGUUACUACGUCUUGGUGUGUUGGUUACUAUAUCUUGGUGUGUUGGUUACUAUGUCUUGGUUACUAUGUCUUGGUGUGUUGGUUACUAUGUCUUGGUGUGUUGGUUACUAUGUCUUGGUGUGUUGGUUACUACGUCUUGGUGUGUUGGUUACUACGUCUUGGUGUGUUGGUUACUAUAUUUUGGUGUGUUGGUUACUACGUCUUGGUGUGUUGGUUACUACGUCUUGGUUUGUUGGUUACUGCGUCUUGGUGUGUUGGUUACUAUGUCUUGGUUACUACGUCUUGGUGUGUUGGUUACUAUGUCUUGGUUACUACGUCUUGGUGUGUUGGUUACUACGUUUUGGUGUGUUGGUUACUAUGUCUUGGUGUGUUGGUUACUAUGUCUUGGUGUGUUGGUUACUAUGUCUUGGUUACUAUGUCUUGGUUACUAUGUCUUGGUGUGUUGGUUACUACGUCUUGGUUGCUAUGUCUUGGUUACUACGUCUUGGUGUGUUAGUUACUACGUCUUGGUUGCUAUGUCUUGGUGUGUUGAUUAUUAUGUCUUGGUGAGUUGGUUACUAUGUCUUGGUUACUAUGUAUUGGUGUGUUGGUUACUAUGUAUUGGUGUGUUGGUUACUAUGUCUUGGUUGCUAUGUCUUGGUUGCUAUGUCUUGGUGUGUUGGUUACUAUGUAUUGGUGUGUUGGUUACUAUGUCUUGGUUGCUAUGUCUUGGUUGCUAUGUCUUGGUGUGGUGGUUACUACGUCUUGGUGUGUUGGUUACUAUGUCUUGGUGUGUAGGUUACUAUGUCUUGGUUGCUAUGUCUUGUUGUGUUGGUUACUUUGUCUUGGUUACUACGUCUUGGUGUGUUGGUUACUACGUCUUGGUGUGUUGGUUACUACGUCUUGGUGUGUAG